GUAUGGGUUUGAUGCCUGAAGUCUCUCAGACUGUCCCAUGUCAGAGCAACCUGUAGCCCCCAACCAUUUCCUGGCCUCUGUGCCCAUACCCACUGGUACUAAGGCAGUUACAAGAGG
rnacentral:snoRNA from 1 species